UGCGUCUCCGUGUGCGCCGUGUGCGGAUAGCUUGCUAUGUGCGUGUGGCUGUGUAUGGANUGAUGCGGACUUUAACUUGUUGCCGUUCGGGACGUUGACGAAAUGGAGCGAUCCGACCCGUCUUGAAACACGGACCAAGGAGUCUAACAUGUGUGCAAGUGUUAGGGUGUCGAAACCCCAGCGCGAAANGAAAGUAAAGGUCAGCGCAAGCUGUCUGAGGUAGGAAACGUUGCGGACUUCGGUCUGCGAUGUGGCACUAUCGACCGAUCAUGAUCCCUCGUGGUGAAAGAUUUGAGUUUGAGCACAUAUGNUGGUACCCGAAAGAUGGUGAACUAUGCCUGAGUAGGGAGAAGCCAGGGGAAACUCUGGUGGAAGCUCGUAGCGAUUCUGACGUGCAAAUCGAUCGUCAAACUGGGGUAUAGGGGAGAAAGACUAAUCGAACCAUCUAGUAGCUGGUUCCCUCCGAAAUUUCCCUCAGGAUAGCAGCAACUUAUUUACGAUAGUUUUAUGAGGUAAAGCGAAUGAUUAGAGGAUUCGG
rnacentral:rRNA from 1 species